CUAAAAAAAAAAAGUACAAAAAUUAGCCGGUAUGGUGGUGCAUGCCUGUCAUCCCAGCUGCUUGGGAGGCUGACGCACGAGAAUCCCUUGAACUGGGAGGCGGAGGUUGCAGUGAGCGGAGGUCGCACCACUGCACUCCAGCCUGGGCAACAGAGCAAGACCCUGUCUCUAAAAAAAAAAAAAGAGAGAGAGAACAUGAAUUCACGUUUGUGCUUCCCAACUCCUUCAUCACUUGCCUGGAUUUACUGAGGUUGCCUUGGCCACAGCCUCCUGGCUUCUGCCCUGGCCUCCAUCAUCCGUUUGUUUCGGCCUCAAGUGAUCUGUUCGUCUCGGCCUCCCAAAGUGCUGGGAUUACAGGUGUGAGCCACCGCGCCUGGCCAAAAUUUAUAAACCUUGACUCUUAUUCUCGGUGUGUCCCACAAUACCUGGCACCUACUAGAUUUUCAAAUAUGCGUUGAAUGAGUGAAUUAAAUAAAUAAUGUUGUGACUAUGUAAGGAUAUAACUGAUGUAAAGUUCUUGGCAGGUCGCCAGCAUUCAAUAAACCAAGAUGCUGGGCACAGUGGCUCAUGUCUGUAACCCCAGCAUGUUGGGAGGCCGAGGCAGGAGGAUAGUUUGAACCAGGGGUUCAAGAGCAGCCUGGACAACAAAGCGAGACCCUGUCUCUACAAAAAUUACAAAAAAAUUAGCUGGGUGUGAUAGUGUAUACCUGUGGUCCCAGCUAUUCGGGAGCCUGGGAGGUUGAGGCUACAGUGAGCCAGGUUCCUGCGAUCCAGCCUGAGUUACUGAGUGAGACCCUGUCCACAUCCCCACAAGAGGUAAACUUAUGUUCAUCAAAAGACAUGUACAAGGAUGUUCAUAGCUGCUUUAUCUACAAUAACCAUUCACUGCAAACAACUCAAAUAUCUAUCAGCAGUAAGAUAAAUACAUUGUGAUACAUCUCCACAAUGGAAUAUUAUACAACAAAGAAAAAGAACAGGAAAACAGACAUGACAAUAGAUUCUCACAGAUACAAUGUUGCGUAAAAGCAAGAUGCCAAACCAUGUAUUUCCACUUACACAAAGUUCAGGGGUAGGCAAAACUAAUCUAUGAUGAAAAUGUCAAAUUGGAGGAUAUUGACUGAGAAAGAGCAUUUGGGAAUUUCCUGGAGGGACAAAUAUGUUCUUCUGGUCUGCAUGGUGGAUACACAGGUAUACAUGUGUAGAAAUUCACCACGCUGAAAUUUAUGAUUUGUGCACUUUACCAUAUUCAUUAAAAAAAAAAAAAAAGAGGAAGCCAGUCAUGAUGGCUUGUGCCUGUAAUCCAAGCUACUCAGGAGGCUGAGAUGGGAGGAUCGCUUGAGGCCAAGAGCUCGAGACCAGCCUGGGUGAUGCAGUGAGCCCUUGUCUUCAUUAAAAAAAAAAAAAAAAAAAAAAAAGAUUAGGCUGGGUGCAGUGGCUCACGCCUGUAAUCCCAGCACUUUGGGAGGCCAAGGUGAGCAGAUCACUUGAGGUCAUGAGUUCGAGACUUGCCUUGAAAACAUGGUGAAGCCCCGUUUCUACUAAAAAUAUAAAAAUUAGCCAGGUUAGGCCAGGGACGGUGGCUUACGCCUGUAAUCCCAGCACUUUGGAGGCCGAGGUGGGCGGAUUAUAAGGUCAGGAGUUUGAGACCAGCCAAUAUGGUGAAACCCCGUCUCUACUAAAAAUACAAAAAUUAGUCAGGUGUGGUGGGUGCCUGCCUGUAGUCCCAGCUACUCAGGAAGCUGAGGCAGAAGAAUUGCUUGAACCUGGGAAGCAGAGGUUCCAGUGAGCUGAGAUCGCGCCAUUGCACUCCAGCCUGGGACACAGAGGAAAACUCCGUCUCAAAAAGAAAAAAAAAUUAGCCAGGCAUUGUGGAGGGUACCUGUAAUCGCAACUCCUCAGGAGGCUGAGGCAGGAGAAUCACUUGAACCUGGGAGGUGGAGGUUGCAGUGAGCCGAGGUCACACCACUCCACUACAGCCUGGGUGACAGAGCGAGACUCCAUCUCAAAAUAAUAAUCAUAAUAAUAAUGAAAAGAAAUGAUGCUGGAUGCAGUGGCUCAUGCCUAUAAUCCCAACACUUUGGGAGGCCAAAGCAGGAGGAUCACUUGAAGCCAGGAGUUUGAGACCAGCCUGGGCAAUGUAGCAGGACCCUAUCUCUACAAAAACAUAUAUAUUUUAAAAAUUAGCCAGGUGUGGUGGUGCAUGUCUGUAGUCCCAGCUACUCGCAUGGCUGAGGCAGGAGGAUCACCUCAGUCCAGUAAUUUGAGGCUGCAGUAAGGUGUGGUCAUGCCACUGGACUCCAGCCUGGGCAAUAGAGCAAGACCCUAUCGCAAAAUAAAAGAAUAAAAUAUACAAUAAAAAUAAAACAGAGCAAAGAGAAUGUCCCCUAGAGCCAUGUGUGAUCCAUACGCUUUGUGAAUCCUGACACCUCCUCUCCUUCGAGGUUGUACAACUGUCUUCCAAAGUUGGAAAAAAAAUGUUUAAACCUGCCCAGAUUCAGGAGGGAGGUCCCAGGGGUACCAGUGCCCUCCCCCAUUUCCCAAGGACAACAAGGGUUUCCAGCCUCACUUGGCCUUGGGGUGUGCGCAGCUCGGUGUGAGGGCCAGUGGUUGAUCUUGAAGUUUCUUUCCUACUCCCUCAUCCGUUUCCUGC
rnacentral:lncRNA from 10 species